UCUUCAUUUGCAUGUGCGAAACUUGCACUUGGGUAACCUCCUGGAAAAAGCUGUAGAAAUCGACAGCUGUCCUGCGGGAUAUAUUACACUCUAUCUCGGCAGUGGAUACGGGGAGCCGAACAACCCAUGCCAUCAUGAGGUGGACGACCUGAAAAGAUAAGAAAGCAACACAGUUUGCGGGAGGCCGACGAGACCGGCAGAUCCGCGUGCCCGCGAGCAGCUGGAGCACGGGGACGAAGCACUUCAACGUGACGAAGGCUGGUGGAGCCCCUUACCUUUGUGAAGGUGAUGUGGACACGUUCGAAGAAAGUAUUAAUCAAAGGAGAAAGCGAACCGCUGCAUUGAUCCCGGCGUGCUUUUUUUGGUGCCUGCGAGCCUGGCGCAGGGCUGCUGAUGCCACGACACCUGUAGGUAAAUUUUAGUGCGUUGUCCCGGGAAGCCUUCGGACGCAUAGGACCUAACGGAGAAAAGAAUAACACAAAUCGACACGCGUCCUGUAGAGGUCUGGAUGUUUGAAUAGUACCGGCGUGUGCCGGGAAGCAAAAGUUGCAGGAUAGCAAUCCUCCCCAGUGCGGUUACCUACCUUGGCAUUUCGGGAAAGGGGGCGGCACGGUGGAAUCCUGGUCUGGUAGCAGGCCGACGGCCGUGCACAAUUCCACCGUCUGCUCCUCGCUUGAAAAUACCCGGUCAAAGGUGAAGAUGGUGGUCCUUGAGAUUAUGUCGAAGGCGUUCCCGGGAAGGUUUCCCGAACAGGCAGACGGUGCUGCCUGUUCGGGAGGAAGGGGCGAAUGUUCCGAUGAUAUGGAUGGUCGAUCCAUGAAGGCAAAUAAUGGUUCGUGUGACCAGAGCAUCGUCGAAGCAUAUAUAGGCAAGGCCAGGGGCGUAUGGCCUGCAAAGGCACGGAGCAUUUCGAUGGGGGGUGGCCAGAAACGCGAGGGAGGUCGGUGGGCAACAUCAGACGCGGGAACACCGCGCGCCAGUACAGUUCGUGCCGGGGCGGCGCACGUGGGCCACCCAGCCGGGCAGAACCCUUGGCGGGCGGUUGUGGCGAGGGCACCCCGAACCAGCAGCCAGUAGCCGCCGACCGGAUGCUCCCUGCCUGCAUGGGAAAACAUUUAUCAAACAUUUAAACAUUUAUCAAACACCGAAUGAAAAGAUAGAACGAUUCAAAUAAAAUGAGCAAAAAAUCUAG
rnacentral:lncRNA from 1 species